rnacentral:rRNA from 1 species
AUUGAACGCUGGCGGCAGGCCUAACACAUGCAAGUCGAGCGCGAAAGUCUUCGGAUGAGUAAAGCGGCGAACGGGUGAGUAAUGCAUGGGAAUCUGCCUGGUAGUGGGGGACAACGUCUCGAAAGGGACGCUAAUACCGCAUACGCCCUACGGGGAAAGGGGGGGAUCUUCGGACCUCUCGCUAUCAGAUGAGCCCAUGUCAGAUUAGCUAGUUGGUGAGGUAAAGGCUCACCAAGGCGACGAUCUGUAACUGGUCUGAGAGGAUGAUCAGUCACACUGGAACUGAGACACGGUCCAGACUCCUACGGGAGGCAGCAGUGGGGAAUAUUGGACAAUGGGGGGCAACCCUGAUCCAGCCAUGCCGCGUGUGUGAAGAAGGCCCUAGGGUUGUAAAGCACUUUCAGUGGGGAGAAAGGUUAUUCACCUAAUACGUGAGUAGAUUGAUGUUACCCACAGAAGAAGCACCGGCUAACUCCGUGCCAGCAGCC